GAUGAACGCUGGCGGCGUGCCUAAUACAUGCAAGUCGAGCGAACGGACGAGAAGCUUGCUUUUCUGAUGUUAGCGGCGGACGGGUGAGUAACACGUGGAUAACCUACCUAUAAGACUGGGAUAACUUCGGGAAACCGGAGCUAAUACCGGAUAAUAUUUUGAACCGCAUGGUUCAAAAGUGAAAGACGGUCUUGCUGUCACUUAUAGAUGGAUCCGCGCUGCAUUAGCUAGUUGGUAAGGUAACGGCUUACCAAGGCAACGAUGCAUAGCCGACCUGAGAGAGUGAUCGGCCACACUGGAACUGAGACACGGUCACGACUCCUACGGGAGGCAGCAGUAGGGAAUCUUACGCAAUGGGCGAAAGCCUGACGGAGCAACGCCGCGUGAGUGAUGAAGGUCUUCGGAUCGUAAAACUCUGUUAUUAGGGAAGAACAUAUGUGUAAGUAACUGUGCACAUCUUGACGGUACCUAAUCAGAAAGCCACGGCUAACUACGUG
rnacentral:rRNA from 1 species